AUGGUUUCAUGCAAACCUAGCCGCAAAUGUGGUGAUUUUUUACAAUUGACUCCCAAGAAGGUGCCGGUGCUGGUCCACGACGGCAAGCCCAUCGCCGAGUCCACCGUCAUCGUCGAGUACAUCGACGAGGCGUGGAAGGACGGCUACCCCAUCAUGCCGGCCGAUCCCUACGACCGGGCUCAGGCCAGGUUCUGGGCCAGGUUCGCCGACGACAAGUGCAACGCCGCCAUCUACCCGGUCUUCACGGCGACCGGCGAGGCGCAGCGCGAGGUGGUGCGCGAGGCCCAGCGGUGCCUGAAGACGCUGGAGAAGGCCCUGGUGGGGAAGAAGUUCGGGGGCGACGCCGUCGGCUACCUCGACGUCGUGCUUGGGUGGUACGCGCACUGGCUGCCGAUCAUCGAGGAGGUCUCCGGCGCCAGCGUGGUCACCGACGAGGAGCUGCCUCUGAUGAAGGCCUGGUUCGGCCGGUUCCUGGCCGUCGACGUGGUGAAGGAGACCCUGCCGCCGAGGGACAAGCUCCUGGCGCUCAACAAGGCUCGCCGUGAGCAGCUGCUCUCGGCCUAG
rnacentral:rRNA from 1 species